GUAAUGGCACCUGGAAAGCAAGAGGUGAGAAACUUUGCUUCUUUAAGUUGUCUUUUUUAAUUGGGGAAAUUUCAAAAAAUACUGUGGUUUCACGCUUUUACACUUAAGGCGUAAAUUUUUUUUUUUUAUCAAUUCAAUACCUAGCGGUUCAUUCCGUUGGGAAGUCCUUAACGGAAAAAUGACAUGGUGGCAAUAUAGAAUAAAAUAUUAUUGUUUCUCAUAAAUUGAUUCAAUAAAUUGAAUGAAUAAAAUUUUAAAAGUGCAACUUGAUAAUCAAACUGCAUCCUUUCAUCUUCUAUCUCUUCGUUCUUCUUGUCUUUUUCUUCAAACCAACGUUGAAAAAAGGUCUUCUUCCACCCGAUAAUCAAAGGCUAGAGCCACAUAUUUGAUAAACAAACUCAGCCUUCUCUUUCCUUCCUUGUCUUCCUCAUAAUCUUUUGCACCAUAACUGAAAAUCAUUUCUUUUUCCACCCAAUAAUCAAAGGCCACAGAAUCAACAAAAAUCUUACUCUCAACACUUUUCCAAGCACAAUCCAAUGAUCCAUAUUACUGAAUUCUUUAAACCAGAAGAAGAUACCCACAAAAUUAGGGGAAGCAAGAAGUUAUGAGGUCAAAUAUCAAUCUCCUCCACAUUUGAAGAAACAAAAUUUAAAAAUUUUUCAAGAAAAUUUGACUAGAAAACUGAUCAAUUGUGAUGUUCUAAAAGUAGAUAUUAUAUGUAGCAGAAGAAAGAAAUCUCAAAGAGAGAGAGAGAGAGAGAAAUGGGAGGAGACAGGAGAAUACAGCAAUGAAAAUAAUCUAUUUAGAUCGAAUAGUAACAGAGGACAAGACAGCGGCAGCGAGGACUUGGAAGAUUAAGGCGUCACCAUUCACUAGUGCAACUAGUAAUCUCAACAAAGGAGGAAGUGGUGGUGUUAAUGUUAUAUGAGGAGAUGCAAUGUUGGUGGAUAUGGAGGUGCAAUAGAUGGGUGGUGUUAAACCGAGAGAAGACAUGGAGAGAGGAAUCAAUGUUCAGGGUUUGGCAAUGGGAGAAGGAGAGGAAGGGGAAAGGAAUAAGGAUAUAGAGAUCGAUUUUAAGUUUUUAGAUUUUUUAUAUAUGAAAAAUUAUUUUUUAAUUCAGGCUGACAGAAUUUUUAAUGGAAACUAUGGGAUCAAUUAGCGGUUUAAAGCACAUGGUACUGACUCAAUGAAAGAAAUAGUUUUGUUGCUGAAGUGUAAAAGCGCAAAACCACUGGGUAGUAUUUUCAAAUUUUCGCUUUUUAAUUUUUCAGGAUUUGAAUCUUAAUAUAGAGAUCUGAAGCUUUAUGCAUUUGAGUUCAGAUAUUAAUUGACAACAAACAGC
rnacentral:misc_RNA from 1 species